rnacentral:rRNA from 1 species
GUCUACGGCCAUGCCAACCUGAACAUGCCCAUUCUCAUCCGAUCUCGGAAGCUAAGCAGGGUCGGGCCUGGUUAGUACUUGGAUGGGAGACCGGCUAGGAAUACCAGGUGCUGUAGGUG